UACAGAGGGUGCAAGCGUUAAUCGGAAUUACCUGGGCGUAAAGCGCGCGUAGGUGGUUUGUUAAGUUGGAUGUGAAAGCCCCGGGCUCCAACCUGGGAACCUGCAUUCAAAAACUGACAAGCUAGAGUACUGGUAGAGGGUGGUGGAAUUUCCUGUGUAGCGGUGAAAUGCGUAGAUAUAGGAAGGAACACCCAGUCGGCCGGAAGGGCGAAC
rnacentral:rRNA from 1 species